rnacentral:hammerhead_ribozyme from 1 species
AUCCAGCUGACAAGUCCGACAUAGGAAGAAACUCGCGUCCUGGAU